GUUUGUGAUGGGCAGUGGUUGUGGUGUCCCGGCUCCAUUUUUUCCUUGCCCUUAUUUACAUAGUAAACAAAUAGUGUAUAGUAAGUAAAUGAUGCUUCUGUAAAAAUAAAACUUUAUAUUGCUGACUUAUGGGGGGAAGUGACUGGAAUAUGCCCAAUAUCUGACGUGGAAACAAGAAAAACACGUUUAUUUCUGAACUUAGGAAAGUUUAACUUACUCAUUCAAAGCAGACUGUGAAUCUGUAAUGGGAAAGUACGACACGCAGCAACACAGCAAGGUGGUGCUUUUUGACCAGCUGCUGAAAUCUGUCCCAGGUGUGAGCUUUGGUUUUUCUUCUUCGGAGGACGGAUUGACCGUGCCAUCUGCACCUGAAUCUUUUACUCAUGCUGGUGUCCUUAUGGGUGAUACCUCUUUGUGGCCAUUGUGGCCAAGUAUACUCAAACCGUAGAAACGGAUUUGGGUCAAGUUUAUCUUAUUCCUCAUUACUCCUGGGUAUGAUUUGUUUGAAAAUCUACUUUGUCUAUAAUAAUGUUUAAGGAAUCCAAGUUUGUCCUUGAUCUCAGGAAUCUCCACUUGCUUAGUAAGAUCUCCCUGCAGUGAAAAUAACGUUACUCCACCCUGUCCCUUUUGUUAAUCUGGAUGUAAUACUGCCAAUUGCAGGUAGCCUCGGGUCUCAGAAGGUGCUGGGGUAUGUAGACUGUGGUACUCUGGCUAUGCAGCCCUGGAGAAGGUAUGCCGUCAUCCAUGUUGCAGUGAAACUUGCUGGUGGUGCAGACGUUUUGGAGCCUCCCACACUCCUGUAAGCAACUCCUCAGCCACACUCUAGAAAGAAUUCUCCAAGCAAUGAGUACAGACAUAAGUGAUAUAACAAGACUAUGAUCUCAACUUGUGUUUCUCUCGCUGAUCAUUUUAUUUCAUCUGGAAAGAGAGACAGGGUUUCACUCUGUAACCCUGGCUGUCCUGGAACCCAUCCUGUAGACCAAGCUAGUCUUGAACUCACAGAGGUCCACCUGCCUCCCAAGUGUUGGGAUUAAGGGGUAUGCCACCAGGGCUCAUAAAGGUUGGUGUUAUGGUUUAGAUAAAAUGCUGUGGUUCCCCUGAGGGCCAGCGGCAGGCCACAGGGGGCAGCCAGGUCCUACCAACCGAGGCCUCUGUGGGUCCCAGGUGGGAAGGAGGCAGCGAGUGAGAGAGACCUCAGCAGAUCAGUGGAGCAGCUGGUCCCAAGAGGAACCAUGGCAGGUGACCUGAGACAGAUAGGCAUGCCAUGCAGAGAGAGAGUUUGGGUAUAGUUUAUUCAGUGGGUUAUGGAAGGAAAGGAAAGUGGGGGGAGAGGAAGCCACAGCCACCUCUUCUGAAGAGAGACCUCUUCCAAAGAGAGGUUAGGGUUAGGGUUAACUCUCUUAAAGGGACAGGACAGACUAUUACAUUCCCAUCUCUUUUUUUUAUAAGAAAAAGGCAGAAGGUUAGGCACAACAGGUUAAAGGAAUUGGGACAGUGGAUUCUCAAGACUGCUUCCUGCUUAUUUGAGGGCAUUGUCUUGGCGGGGCAGAACCUGAGAAAACUGGAUGCUGGUCACAUCCUAGGGUAGCUGGUUUCUUUGCUCCUGUCUGGUGUUUAUGGUAUGGGAAUAUAAUGGUCUGUCCUGUCCCUUUAAGAGACAAGCCCUGACACACACACACACACACACACACACACACACACACACACACACACCUCCGCUCUUCUACCAAGGCAAGAACAUCUUCCUUCUUCUUCCAACCUACAGGCUCUCUUUCUGUCCAGUCUCUCAUUGAAAGAGGUAUCUGUACCCUCCAUUCCUGCCCCCAAUUCCUCACUCUCUGUUCUCUCUCUCUCUCUCUCUCUCUCUCUCUCUCUCUCUCUCUCUCUCCUUCUCUCCUCCUUCCCUUUCCUUCCAUAACCCACUGAAUAAACUAUACCCAAACCCUCUCUCUGCAUGGCGUGCCUAUCUGUCUCGGGUCAUCCACCAUGGCUCCUCGUGGGACCAGCUGACCAGCCAACAUCUCUCACUCACUGCCUCCCACCCACCUGGGACCCACAAAGGCCUUGGUGGUGGGACCUGGCUGCCCCUCAUGGCCCACUGCCACCCCUUGAGGAACUGUGCUGUUUUAUCUAAACCAUUACAGUUCGUCUUACAACCAUUUCCAUACUCUUAUAGUGGAAAGAAAGAGCCAAUUCCCAGAACUUUUCCUCCGAUCGCCAAAUGCCAUGGCUAGGGCAUGUGUAUGUAUGUACUUCACACACACACACACACACACACACACACACACACACACACACACACAAAUAAUUUUAAAGCAUUUUAAAAUAAAAAUUUGAGGAGCUGGAGAAAUGAUGCCGAGGCAAAGGGCUUAUAGUUCAAGAGGGUUAAUGGCUAUAAUUGUGGGGGCAGCAUGGCAGCAGGCAGCAAGCAUCGUGGCUGGAACGAGAAGCUGAGAGCUCACAUCCUUCACCGUGAGCACGAAGCCAAGAAAGCACACAGAAAGUAGGACAAGGAUAUAUAUAACAACAAAGCCCAACCCUGGUGAGUUCUUCCAGGAGGGCUGUCCUUCCUAAGUCCCCACACUGCUACUGAUGGGAACCCCAGCGUUCAAAUACUGGAGCCUAGGGGGAGCAUUUCUCAUUCAGUCCACUAUGUCUCGCUCCCUGGUCUUCAUAGGCUCGUGGCCAUGUGAUGCAAAGUGCAUUUAGUGCAACUUCAGUAGUCCCUGGAGUCUCUCGGUCUCAACACUGUUUGAAAGCCUACAGUCUCUUCUACGAUGCAAAGCAUCCCAGAAUGUAACUCUCUGGAAAAUGAAAAGGUAAAUCACAGAUUUGCAACAUAUGACACAGAAUUUCCGUUACCGACCCAAAAGGGUGGGAGUGGAGCAUGGUAAGAAAGUCCUGGACCAAAGCAUGAAGAGAAUAGAGACUAGCAGGACAAAGAUGCUCGGCAUCUUCUGUCAAGUGCUUAGAUCGCUCCACCCCUCCCGCGUUCCUGCCUGCAGCAAACUUCUCUCUCCUGGGCUGGUCCUGCCCCUUAGAUGCAGCUCUCCUUGGCAGAUUUCUCACGUGUGACAUCUCCAAAAUCUUGUGUCCACUGCAACUAAGGUUCCCUGUCACAGCUCCACACACGGGGCCUUCAUGCAGGGACUCUCUGGCACGUGCUGCCUGGUCUCAGAGGCUCUCUGAAGCCACAGAGGUCUCCUUCAUAUCUAAAGCCAGCACCAUGGGACAACUUAGCCAAGUACGGCUACAAGCUUAGGGUGGGGCCUUGAAUCACAUGGGCAUCAGUGCUUUUCAGCUGCUUUCUAGGAUCAGAAGGUUGCUAUGGUAAAAAUAAAACACUGCAGAGUGGUGGCAGUGGGCAGUGGCACAAGAUACCCCCCCUCUGCUCUUCCCCUUCUCUCCUUACCUCCUUUCCCUUUCCCUUCCAUAACUCACUAAAUAAAUGCCCACUUUCUCUGCAUGGCAUGCCUAUCUCUGUCUCUCACCCUCCAUGUGGCUCCCUGCCUGGGAUCCGCUGACCCUCACGACCCUGUGGGCUAUUCGGGGAACUGGGAACUGCAGCGUUUUACUAUGGCAGCUUCUCAUAGCCUCCUUGGGCUCUGCUGCAGCCACUUGGGGAAAGGCACUGUUUUAUUUUUACCAUAACAAAGAUGCCUUAGGUUGUCUUUUACACACGGGAGACUUGGCUAGGUGGGGGUCUUACACAGAUCACCUUUUUCCUGUGUUCCGGGGCAGGACAAGCUUCUCCUCAACCACGCUAAUCUUCCACUCUCCAGCAAAGGCCUUGGCUGCAGCAUUCCGCUUCCCAGCGCUCCUUUCUCCACAAACUGUAUGGUUCAUCUUGUUUUCUGGCCCAAAUCUCCAAACUUUUUCCACAACACCCCACCCACCCAUCGCACACCAACUUAGCCAAGUUCAUCACAGCAAUAGCCUACUCUCAGUACCAAUUUCUAUUGUGUUUCCUCACAGUCUAUAUUAAGUUAGCAGCUUUCAUAAAACUAGAACUUUACACAUUCUAUAAUUGUUUGGAAUUGAAGCUAAUAAAGAAACUGAAUUGGUCAUUUUGAGGGUAAAAACAGAACAAGUUUGUAUCCAGCUGUUAAUGCUGUCUCCUGGGAAGGCAAAGAAUGGUCAGAAGGUGAAAUGGGAACAGGAGGGAGCCUAGGAGCUAUCAUUGCCCUUGACUAGUUCUAAGGCACUAUAGCCACAAGUUCCUUUUUGCCAGCGAUAAGGAGGGCAACACCCUUUUUAGGCAGUAAGAACUUUCUCUGAGCAACCUGAGGGAAUGGGAGCUUUGUCUGAAUGCCUGGCCUGGGGAAAAGGACUUUGUAGUUUUAUCUCUCUUAGUGUGAGCCUUAGAAAACAAUUUUUUUUUUGUUUUUGUUUUUUUGAGACAGGGUUUGUUUGUGGUUUUGGAGCCUGUCCUGGAACUAGCUCUUGUAGACCAGGCUGGUCUCGAACUCACAGAGAUCCGCCUGCCUCUGCCUCCCAAGUGCUGGGAUUAAAGGCGUGCGCCACCAUCACCCGGCAGAAAACAAUUUUUCAAUUGAAGUUUCCUUUAGUAUCAAUAAAAAAAUAUGACUCAGUAUAUUCAAAUAGUUUAAACCCAAAAAAGGUAGCAAAGACAAGGAGGUUAAACAUGUAGUUUUUGAACAUGACUAGAUCUUGAACAAGGAAAUGCAUUUUUAAAAAAACAUUAGUUAAUAUUUUUAAUGCUUUGACCUUUCAAUAUAGUCUUUUACAUUGUUAUUCUCCCAUUACAAAAUUUUUCCCAUUGUUAUUUUACAGCUGCAGUUUUGCCUAUGUUAUGAAUCUCAAUUCAAACAUCUGACAUGCAAGUGGUCCCAGACUACCCCUGUACAACCCACAAAAGAUUGAGAUUCAUAGGCUUGGAUGCUGUUCCAAACCCUCUGUCAAACUGUCUAGGUCAUUGUCUUCUACAUCACAAGAAAUGAACAUUUCCAUUUCUCGUUAGUUUUUGGUGCUUACGGCUGUGACCCUAAUUUUUAGCCUUUUAAGUUCAAAUAUUAACAAUAAAACAUUUUGUAAGUACAGACGUCCCACAGUCUUAUAAAUUUAAGUAUUUUAAAAAAUUAAAAUCUCGGGGCUGGAGAGAUGGCUCAGUUGUUAAGAGCACUGAUUGUUCUUCCAGAGGUCCUAAGUUCAAUUCCCAGCAACCACAUGGUGGCUCACACCCACCUAUAGUAAGACCUGGUACCAACUUCUGGCCUGCAGAGACACAUGCAGGCAGAACAUUGUAUAAAUAAAUAAAUAAAUCUAAAAAAAUUAAAAUCUCUUAAAUGUCUUCCUGCAAUAUCAAAAAUAAAGUACCUCUUUGGCCCCACCCUCAACAACACACACAUAACCUGUCUUUUAGAGCUCCGCCUGCUCCAUUUCACUGUAGCUGGUGCUUUUGGUGAUUAUAACCAGGCUGGCCUCAAACGCACAAAGAUCUGCCUGCCUCUGCCUCCCAAGUGCUGGGAUUAAAGGCGUGUGCCACCACCACUGGCCUUUUAAUCCUUGUUUUCUCUCUUCAUUCUUUCAGUCUCCUGUUUUCUCCCUCACUUUCCAAACAACAUACCAAAGUCUUUCUUGCUUCUCAGACAAUAUAAAAAACUCUUACCAAAGUCUUUUUUUAUGUUUUCCUUCAGUAGUAUAUUAUAUAUUGUAUGACUACAAUAUUUUAAAUAACAGAAACAUGCAUAUACUAUAACAAAAAUAACUUUAAAUUUACAUAAAAAUCCUGUACCAGCGUGAAACAUCUGAGACUAACAGAUUUUUUUUCAUACUCCUAACCAAUAGUGAUUUGUUACCAGCCCCUCUAAAUGAUGACAUAUAUUUAUAACCCAUCAGAUCUGAAUGACCAAAGCAGCUCUGGUGGAGGGAAGUCUGACUAUAGUGUCACAACAGGUCACUGCAGCUUAAUACCUAUAGCCAGUGACUAUGACUCAUUACUUUUUGCCUGCAGAGCCAAACCUUGGCCAGGUUUGGCCAGAAAUCGAGACCCGCAGCCCCAAGGGCAGGCUGAGGAAACCCAUCCACCACUGAGGAAACCCAUCCACCGGCAUGGGAUGGGGCAGGGUGGCAUGCAGCAUGGGGGGCUUAAGGGGAAAACCUGCAAAGGCAAAGGGGGUACAGUCAGAUUAGGCAUAAGGAAAGGCUUAACCCACAGAAGGGGGUCAUCAACUCGGUCGAUGAGACCCUGGAAAGUCACAAUGUAAUAAAUCUGGUCCGGGUUUCCAGUACGAGGUCGGAAAACAAUGUUCUCAACCUUAGGAAAAGUCAGAUUGAGGUGUAAAGAUCCCAGGGGCCAGCCCACAUUGAAAGAGGACCAUUUGGAAGAACAGAAAAUGACCCAUGGUCUGUCCAUUCAAGUCAGUCAUCAACAGAGAUACAAAGAUAGAAUACACAAGACCGACAAACAGAACAGUUAGACAGAGGGUCCAAAACAGACUCCCAUAGGUACCAGAUGGUAUGGUUUGUGGAGAGCCCAGAGAUUCAGCCUCAACAAGAUCAAAAACCAUACUAAUGGGACAGGAACCAUUCAGUAAGGCGACCUGAUCCCCAGAGACUUCAGAUUUAGAGUUACAGACGGGCCCCACUGGGUCCCUGAUGGUCUCAGAUGAGAGACCCCCAUCCAGACGAGAAAAGGGGACAUCUCUCAAUUCCCCCAGGUCUGCCCUCUAGCAUGUCCACGGUGUAAAUUGACCUAUUCAGAUUCAGAUUCAGAGAUCAACGCUGAUAAAAACAGAAGAUAGACAGACAAGACUUUAAACACAGAUAGACUUAUUGCGGUUGCUCAGAAUAAACCUUCGGGGUUGGGGGUCCUGAUGGGGGUCUCAGGGAAUCCCGGACAAGCCCCCCAAAUGUCAUGUCUAGUCUGUGGAGACCCCAAAAGACCACCAGAGAGACCAACUCACUAAAAUGCAAAAGCAAGGUCUACAUGUGUAAAUUUUCAA